rnacentral:rRNA from 1 species
CCUACGGGAGGCAGCAGUGAGGCAUAUUUGUCAAUGGACGAGAGUCUGAACCAGCCAAGUAGCGUGAAGGAUGACUGCCCUAUGUGUUGUAAACUUCUUUUAUAAAGGAAUAAAACGAGGCACGUGUGCCUUUUUGCAUGUACUUUAUGAAUACGGAUCGGCUAACUCCGUGCCAGCAGCCGCUGUAAUACGGAGGAUCCGAGCGUUAUCCGGAUUUUUUGGGUUUAAAGGGAGCGUAGAUGGGUUGUUAAGUUAGUUGUGAAAGUUUGCGGCGCAACCGUAAAAUUGCAAUUGAUACUGGCAGUCUUGAGUACAGUUGAGGUAGGUGGAAUUCGGGGUGUAGCGGUGAAAGGCUUAGAGAUCACGAAGAACCCCGAUUGCGAAGGCAGCUUACUAAACUGUGACUGACAUUGAUGCUCGAAAGUGUGGGUAUCAAACAGGAUUAGAUACCCUAGUAGUC